UGGCGGCCUUAGCGCGGUGGUCCCACCUGACCCCAUGCCGAACUCAGAAGUGAAACGCCGUAGCGCCGAUGGUAGUGUGGGGUUUCCCCAUGCGAGAGUAGGGAACUGCCAGGCA
rnacentral:rRNA from 16 species